AACGAGUUUGUAAACAAGUCUUCUAAAUUUGUUCUAGGUUAACUCCUGCUCGUUU
rnacentral:tRNA from 1 species